GGUCCGCGACGGCGGGUUUCUCCAGCCUCGCUGCCCCGUCUUCUCCCGCCAUCGUUUCCCGUCACCUGCCACAUACUGUCGAAACGCCGAGAUAACAGCUACAUCGGUACUGCUUGUUCAGCAUCUGCUGCAACAAGGAAAUACAGCCGGGGAGCUAACAACUGCAGUACAAAUUCUGAUUAAUAAUAAAUGCCCUUUUAUUUUUAUUUACAGGUGAGGCAGCUGUUACGAGAUGACAGUCACAAGGCAAAGGAAGGCGGGAAGAUUUUUAGACACUAAGGCUGAAAAAACCUGCAUAACAAGCAAGAAGUGGCAACGCUUAGCUCCAGCRGCUUUGCCUGGAAAGGAAAACCCAGCGACUAACCAGAAACAGACUCAGUCGCUGCACCUCCGCCGCCAGCCAAAGCUGGAAAGAAAGAGGCAGUGCGGCAUAUGGGAUUUUAAAGCAAUUUCAUUUUCUUAACAUUCAAGUCGUUUUGUUCAAGGAGCUCUUUUUUGAGCAGAUGGUGUCCCUUUAAACRUUGGAAAAGGCAUGGUGCUGGCAAGCCUGCCAACAACCUUGUAGAAAUUAAAAAUCACCACUUAGGAGAAGGGCAUUUCCGAUGGCUGGCUUUCAUCCCAAGGCUAGUCCCGUGCCCACAUGACCGAAGAUUUUCUCUCCCCGUCACGGUGUGAUCGACCUCUCCAGCUGGGUUGUCUUGGGAACGUUGUCCUGACCCCYGGCCCACGCCGGUUCCCCCUUUGGGUGUGAUUGCAGGGCUCAGGCGGGGGGGUAGCAGGAAUGGGGGACACCUGAAAAGUCCCUGUUUUCCUGCACAACUUCAGCGCCUCAGUCCCCAGCGGGUUUUUCCUGCUGAGCCACAGGCAGGGGGGAUUCCCCCCCCCACCCCGGGAGCCUACCUGGAAAUGCGCCUGGCUCGGAAAUGGGACCAAAUCAAACGCGGGCAAAUGUUCAAAAUUAUCGUUUUGCUGCCUGUUAAUUAACAUUUCCU
ensembl:lncRNA